GGCAUGGUGGCCGACGGCGUGGCCCGGGGCGUGUUCCGCUCCGACAUCGACGCGAAGAUCGCGACGUUCGGGCUCGUCGGCAUGUGC
rnacentral:tRNA from 1 species